rnacentral:rRNA from 1 species
CCUACGGGAGGCAGCAGUGAGGAAUAUUGGACAAUGGGCGCAAGCCUGAUCCAGCCAUGCCGCGUGCAGGAAGACGGUCCUAUGGAUUGUAAACUGCUUUUGUACAGGAAGAGACACUCCCUCGUGAGGGAGCUUGACGGUACUGUAAGAAUAAGGAUCGGCUAACUCCGUGCCAGCAGCCGCGGUAAUACGGAGGAUCCAAGCGUUAUCCGGAAUCAUUGGGUUUAAAGGGUCCGUAGGCGGUUUAAUAAGUCAGUGGUGAAAUCUGGUCGCUCAACGAUCAAACGGCCAUUGAUACUGUUAGACUUGAAUUAUUAGGAAGUAACUAGAAUAUGUAGUGUAGCGGUGAAAUGCUUAGAUAUUACAUGGAAUACCAAUUGCGAAGGCAGGUUACUACUAAUGGAUUGACGCUGAUGGACGAAAGCGUGGGGAGCGAACAGGAUUAGAUACCCUGGUAGUCCACGCCGUAAACGAUGGAUACUAGCUGUUCGGAGCAAUCUGAGUGGCUAAGCGAAAGUGAUAAGUAUCCCACCUGGGGAGUACGUUCGCAAGAUGAAACUNAAAUGAAAUUGACGG